rnacentral:snRNA from 1 species
AUACCUUUCUUGUCCUUUUGGCUAAGAUCAAGUGUAGUAUUGGUUCUUAUCAGUUUAUCUUACCUUCUAAUAGCAUGAUUUCUCUUUUCACAAAAUCUAAAGGUUAAGGCUAUACUUGGUUAUUUAGAAGAUGAAAGAGUAACAAAAGGUUGAGGCAAAGUUCUUAAGGAAUUUCACAAAAUUCUUUAAGAAGUUUCCUUCA